AUCAUUCAUCUCUGUUCUUUUCGAUUUCUUCAAUUGGUGAAGGAUGUAAUUGCUUUUUCCUUGGCAGCGAAUUCAUUGUCGGCUUGUCAAAUUUAUAGCUAUACGAAAUGACUUUAUAUUCUAAAGUUAGUUUCGAAUUGUCAAAAUUUUCAGGUUAAAAAAAGGGGGAAUUUCAACGUCAAUACCGGAUGGAUUCAAAUGAAUCAAACAAAUAUUUAUACACAACAAAAAUGAAAGAUAUGGCACAACUCAAGUGCCGUGAUACAUAUAGCCGCAUAUCUGCUGAUAGAAAAGAACAAUUGUUGUUGGCACGGCGUAUGAAAACAAAAGCUUCCGCUAGGUCUAACCUUCAAAAUCCAGUUGCCAUUGUCCCUCAAGAAUGAAUAUCAUUCUGUUGCAAAGCAGGUCUUCCAAAACAAACUGCCCUUACCAUACAAGAAUCAUCUCUACCAGCUGAAGCAGGUGUCCACCCUCAAUCACAUGUAACUACAUCGCAUGAUAAUCUAGAAAAAGGAAAACACAUAUGCAGCCCUUUUGUGAUUUAUGAAAUAGGAAAUACAUCAAACCAGCCAACAUCUCCUUGGUACAACCCAGAGCUUCAAAAACGAACAACUCUUCCCAUAAGAGAAUUGCCAUCACUUCAUGAAAGAGAGGUCCGCCAUCAACCACGUCUGACUGCGUUUCAUGCUAAUCUAGAAAAAACAAAAGAUAUACAUAGCCUGUUUGUGAUUCAUGAAAAUGGCUAUGCUGACUAGAUAUUCAUCCAGCUCAACGAAAAAGCUCACAAACACACUGAAAAUCCUUACCUAUGAGAAGAGUACAGUCACAAUAAGUGAUUGCGAUGAGUUCCACAAAACAGUGAAACACGACGUGCUGACCACUGUUCCACAACCAACUCAUCAGAUGUCUCUCCUAACUAGGAAUAUCAAUGCUCAUUUUACCAUGGCUAUGUGAAUCAACAGAUUACAUUGCCAUUGUUCUCAAGCAGUAUCAAAAAGCUUCAACAAAAUAUGCUUAAAAUUUCAACAAGAGUUAGUGAAGAAAUUUGUCUAUACUGUAAGCAAAACUGUGUCUCUUCACGAUCAUGCUGGUCAUGCAGAUAACACACUAUUGAAAUUUAUUUUUAUCUUAUUUAAUUUCAGUUGCAUAUUUCUUAAGUAAAGCUGUGCACUAAUGGAUUUUUGUUAUCAGCCUGAAGGUAUAUCUCAGAGAUUUUCAUGUAACCUGAUUUUAGGUUACUAUUUUUAAUUUUUUUUUAAAAGGCUUUGAUAAUAUAACUGAACUGUUUUUUGGAUAAGCAUGUGUGCUUCCGUUUGCCUUUGUUUUACUUAUCAUGUUCUUAUGGAUUUGUUUGUUCAAUUAUUGUUUAGUGUUUCCUUUUAUUGUUAUCAUGUGUCUUUUGUCUAACAAUCUAUAACAACUAUGGAAUUGGUCUUCCCACAUGGAGUCCUCUCGCUUCAGGCGUUCUAAUUGAAAAUUUUAGUGCAAGAAACACUCCACCAAAUAGUCGAUUUGCAUUAGAAAAUUACAAAGUAAAACCCUGAAUUGGAAGGAAUUAAGAGCGUUGAAGAUGACGAAGAAGAAUGAAGGAAAGGGUUCCUCAUUAGAGAUAAAUAUCAAUGUUAAGUUCUCUGAUGUUGCUGGGCUUGGAAAAUCAGGAAGGAGCUUGAACAAAUUGAUAAGCUCUUUACCCAUGGAAAGAUGUAUCGCAGGCAAGGAGCUGUUUUUGUUGUUUCUUACUUAUAUAGUUGUACUUUGUGUGUAGAACAUGUUAUUUGUAUCCUAGGUACAUCCACCAUUGCUAAGUAGCCAUGUCGGAUUCAGAAUUUAAAGUUUAUAAGUUCCCUCUUUAGUACUGGUAGUACUUUUUCAGUGUAGAGGUGACCUUAGUAAUGUUAACAUAGUAUGUUUGAUAUCUACUUCUGCAACUUUAACUGAAAGAACCUCCAUAUCUGUCUCUCUCCCACCCAUCAAAGUUCUUGAUUACUUAUAUCAAUAUAUAACUAGAACUAAGUUGAUUGGAUUACACAGCUUAGAACGAAGUUGAGUCAGCAGCUUGGAACUACAAUUCUGUGCUACUCUCCAAUGGAUAGAAACAAGGACAUGAAGUCGGUUCAAGAAAGAAAUAAUAGCUGCUGUCUGAGGAACAACACUUUAUUAUACCUGGCAGGCGAAAAAUAACAGCAUUUUGCAACAACAGAGUGUACAGUUUGACAGAUACAGAGGGAGUUACAUGAGAGAUUUUGCUCCAAAAACACUUAGAAGAAAUAUAAACAAAGAGAAGUAUUUGCAAGCGAAGUUAAAAAAAUUUCCAACCAACAUUGAAUACCAGAAGUGAUACUCUACUUCCUGUAGCUGCACUUUCUUGGUACAACUUUGUAGUUAAAGAGAAUUUGUAUGUUUUUACUACUUUCUGAGGUCUAGCUGUGCUGAUCACCGGUUAGGAGGUGGUUAUACACUGCAGGCUCUUUGUUUGUAAUCCCUUGAUGUUGGUAUGGUAAUAUUCACAAAUUGUUACUCGGG